rnacentral:misc_RNA from 1 species
CGCGGCCGCAAGCAGCGCAUCGACCGAAGGGAG